rnacentral:rRNA from 1 species
UACGAAGGGGGCUAGCGUUGUUCGGAAUCACUGGGCGUAAAGCGCACGUAGGCGGAUUAUUAAGUCGGGGGUGAAAUCCCGAGGCUCAACCUCGGAACUGCCUUCGAUACUGGUAAUCUUCGAGUCCGGGAGAGGUGAGUGGAAUUCCCAGUGUAGAGGUGAAAUUCGUAGAUAUUGGGAAGAACACCAGUGGCGAAGGCGGCUAACUGGUCCGGUACUGACGCUGAGGUGCGAAAGCGUGGGGAGCAAACAGG